CCUACGGGUGGCAGCAGUGGGGAAUAUUCGUCAAUGGGCGCUAGCCUGACCGAGCAAAGUCGCGUGAAGGAUGACUGCCCUCUGAGUUGUAAACUCCUUUUAUAUGGGAGUACAGUGCAGUAUGUAUACUGCUUUGACUGUGCCUUUUGAAUAAGGCUCGGCUAACUCCGGGUCCGCAGCCGCGGUCAUACGGAGGAUCCGAGCGUUAUCCGGAUUUAUUGGGUUUAAAGGGAGCGUAGGCGGGUUGGUAAGUCAUGUGGGAAAGUUUGCGGCUCAACCGUAAAAUUGCAGUUGAUACUGGCAACCUUGAGUACAGAAGAGGUAAGCGGAAUUCGUGGUGUAGCGGUGAAAUGCGUAGAUAUAACGAAGAACUCCGAUGGCGAAGGCGGCCUGCUGGACUGUAACUGACGCUGAGGCUCGAAAGUGUGGGGAUCAAACAGGAUUAGAUACCCUUGUAGUC
rnacentral:rRNA from 1 species